GUCGAGAAUCUUUCACAAUGGGGGCAACCCUGAUGGAGCGACGCCGCGUGAGUGAUGAAGGCCUUCGGGUCGUAAAGCUCUGUUGCAGGGGAAUAAAAAAAUGAAGGUACCCUGUGAGGAAGGAUCGGCUAACUUCGUGCCAGCAGCCGCGGUAAGACGAGGGAUCCUAGCGUUGCUCGGAAUCAUUGGGCGUAAAGAGGGCGUAGGUGGCUUGGUAAGUCAGGUGUGAAAGCCCAGGGCUCAACCCUGGAAGUGCAUUUGAUACUGCUGAGCUUGAGUGUCGGAGAGGUUACCGGAAUACCUGGUGUAGUGGUGAAAUACGUAGAUAUCAGGUGGAACACCGGAGGCGAAGGCGGGUAACUGGACGAACACUGACACUGAGGCCCGAAAGCGUGGGGAUCAAACAGGAUUAGAUACCCCAGUAGUCC
rnacentral:rRNA from 1 species